AUGAACGCUGGCGGCGCGCCUAAUACAUGCAAGUCGAGCGAGAAGACGUAGCAAUACGUUUGUAAAGCGGCGAACGGGUGAGGAAUACAUGGGUAACCUACCCUAGAGUGGGGAAUAACUAGCCGAAAGGUUAGCUAAUACCGCGUACGCUCCUUGGACUUCGGUUCAGGGAGGAAAGCGAUACCGAGGGUAUCGCGCUCUUGGAUGGGCUCAUGUCCUAUCAGCUUGUUGGUGAGGUAACGGCUCACCAAGGCUUCGACGGGUAGCUGGUCUGAGAGGACGAUCAGCCACACUGGCACUGCGACACGGGCCAGACUCCUACGGGAGGCAGCAGUAAGGAAUAUUGCGCAAUGGGCGAAAGCCUGACGCAGCGACGCCGCGUGGGGGAUGAAGGUCUUCGGAUU
rnacentral:rRNA from 1 species